AUAAGCUAUUAAGGGCUAAUGGUGGAUGCCUUGACUGUAAGAGGCGAUGAAGGACGUAUUAGGCUGCGAUAAGCCUCGGGGAGCUGCCAAAGAGCUUUGAUCCGAGGAUUUCCGAAUGGGGCAACCCAGCAUAUAGAGAUAUAUGUUACCCUACGGGGAGCGAACCUGGUGAAGUGAAACAUCUCAGUAGCCAGAGGAAGAGAAAUCAAAUGAGAUUCCCAUAGUAGCGGCGAGCGAACUGGGAUUAGGACAAACCCAAUGCUUGCAUUGGGGGUUGUAGGACUAUAAUGUGUAAUUAAAGAGAAUAGAUGAAUUAGUUGGAAAACUAGAGCAUAGAAGGUGAUACUCCUGUAAUUAAAAUUCUCAAUAAUACUAAUAGUAUCCUGAGUAGGUCGGAACACGUGAUAUUUUGACUGAAGCUGGGGGGACCACCCUCCAAUCCUAAAUACUACUUACAGAUCGAUAGUGAACAAGUACCGUGAGGGAAAGGUGAAAAGUACUGCAGCGAGCAGAGUGAAAUAGAACCUGAAACCAUUAGCUUACAAUCAUUCAGAGCCCUAUGAUUUAUCAGGGUGAUGGACUGCCUUUUGCAUAAUGAGCCUGCGAGUUGUGGUGUCUGGCAAGGUUAAGCCAAGUGCGAAGCCGUAGCGAAAGCGAGUCUUAAUAGGGCGACAUAGUCAGAUGCUGCAGACCCGAAACUGAGUGAUCUAUCCAUGAGCAGGUUGAAGCUGGUGUAAGAGCCAGUGGAGGACCGAACCCGCUGACGUUGAAAAGUCUUGGGAUGACUUGUGGAUAGGGGUGAAAGGCCAAUCAAACUCAGUGAUAGCUGGUUCUCUCCGAAAUAUAUUUAGGUAUAGCGUCUUGUCGUAGCAUAUAGGGGUAGAGCACUGAUUGGGCUAGGGCUGCUUACCGCGGUACCAAACCCUGUCAAACUCCGAAUACUAUAUGUGUAAUCAAGGCAGUCAGGCGGUGGGUGAUAAAAUCAAUCGUCGAGAGGGGAACAACCCAGACUACCAGCUAAGGUCCCAAAGUCAUAUCUAAGUGGAAAACGAUGUGGAGUUACUGUGACAACCAGGAGGUUGGCUUAGAAGCAGCCAUCCUUUAAAGAAAGCGUAACAGCUCACUGGUCUAGUGAUUCUGCGCGGAAAAUAUAACGGGGCUAAGAUGUACACCGAAGCUUUAGAUUCAAUUUUCAAUUGAGUGGUAGGAGAGCGUUCUAUUCAGCGUUGAAGGUAUACCGGUAAGGAGUGCUGGAGCGGAUAGAAGUGAGCAUGCAGGCAUGAGUAGCGAUAAUUAAGGUGAGAAUCCUUAACGCCGAAAACCCAAGGUUUCCUACGCGAUGCUCGUCAUCGUAGGGUUAGUCGGGUCCUAAGUCGAGACUGAAAAGUGUAGACGAUGGCAAAUUGGUUAAUAUUCCAAUACCAACAUAUAAGCGCGAUGUGGGGACGCAUAGAGUUAGUCGAGCUCACUGAUGGAAUAGUGGGUCGAAGGAUGUAGGUUGUUAAGUAGGCAAAUCCGCUUAACGUUAGACCGAGAUCUUACAGGCUCUUGACACUCUUCGGAGGAGAUGGAGAAUCGAUGAUACUGUCGUGCCAAGAAAAGCCACUAAGUUUAUUAUAUGUUGCCCGUACCGUAAACCGACACAGGUGGGUGGGAUGAGUAUUCUAAGGCGCGUGGAAGAACCCUCUUUAAGGAACUCUGCAAAAUAGCACCGUAUCUUCGGUAUAAGGUGUGCCUACUUUGGUAUAUGGACUUGCUCCAAAAAGCUAGAGAGGUUGCAACAAAGAGUCCCUCCCGACUGUUUACCAAAAACACAGCACUUUGCUAACACGUAAGUGGAUGUAUAAGGUGUGACGCCUGCCCGGUGCUCGAAGGUUAAUUGAUGAUGUCAGCGCAAGCGAAGCAUUUGAUCGAAGCCCGAGUAAACGGCGGCCGUAACUAUAACGGUCCUAAGGUAGCGAAAUUCCUUGUCAGUUAAAUACUGACCUGCAUGAAUGGCGUAACGAGAUGGGAGCUGUCUCAAAGAGGGAUCCAGUGAAAUUGUAGUGGAGGUGAAAAUUCCUCCUACCCGCGGAAAGAC
rnacentral:rRNA from 1 species